UACGAAGGGGGCGAGCGUUGUUCGGAAUUACUGGGCGUAAAGGGCGCGUAGGCGGCCGAUCAAGUCAGAUGUGAAAGUCCUGGGCUUAACCUGGGGACUGCAUUUGAUACUGAUUGGCUUGAAUUCGGGAGGGGAUAGCGGAAUUCCCAGUGUAGAGGUGAAAUGCGUAGAUAUCGUAAGGAAGACCAGUGGCGAAGGCGGGUCUCUGGACAGUUCCUGACGCUGAGGCACGAAGGUCAGGGGAGCAAACGGG
rnacentral:rRNA from 1 species